rnacentral:tRNA from 1 species
GGCCUCGUAGCUCAACCGGUAGGGCGUGCACGUACAAAGCGUACACGGCGUCCAUGCGUCAGUUCAAAUCCCACCGAGGCUA